rnacentral:ncRNA from 1 species
CUAUUCCAGUGAUGGAGAUAGUGCAUCUACAGGAGUCAGCAGAGGUCAUAGUAUGCCAGCGACGAGCCCUAAAACAGGGACGGUCUCACAAAAGCAGAAGGAC